AGCAGCCGCGGUAAUUCCAGCUCCAAUAGCGUAUAUUAAAGUUGUUGCAGUUAAAAAGCUCGUAGUUGAAUUUCGGGAUUAGUACGUUGGUCGUGCCUUGGUACGUACUGGUGUAACUGAUUCCUCCCUUCUGACGAACCGUUAUGCCAUUAAUUUGGUGUGGCGGGAAAUCAGGACUGUUACUUUGAAAAAAUUAGAGUGUUUAAAGCAGGCUCGCGCUUGAAUACAUUAGCAUGGAAUAAUGAAAUAGGACGUUAAUCCUAUUUUGUUGGUUUUUAGGAUCGACGUAAUGAUUAAUAGGGAUAGUUGGGGACAUUAGUAUUCAAUUGUCAGAGGUGAAAUUCUUGGAUUUAUUGAAGACUAACUACUGCGAAAGCAUUUGCCAAGGAUGUUUUCAUUAAUCAAGAACGAAAGUUAGGGGAUCGAAGACGAUCAGAUACCGUCGUAGUCUUAACCAUAAACUAUGCCGACUAGGGAUCGGAUGAUGUAAUUUUUAAUGACUCAUUCGCGCCUUACGGGA
rnacentral:rRNA from 1 species